UUAAAUAGUAAGUUACGACGGGGCCCGGCACAAGCGGCGGAGCAUGCGGAUUAAUUCGAUGCAACGCGAAGAACCUUACCAAGGCUUGACAUACACCGGUAACGCCCAGAGAUGGGUGCCCCUUUGUGGUCGGUGUACAGGUGGUGCAUGGUUGUCGUCAGCUCGUGUCGUGAGAUGUUGGGUUAAGUCCCGUAACGAGCGCAACCCUUGUCCUUAGUUACCAGCACGUAAUGGUGGGCACUCUAAGGAGACUGCCGGUGACAAACCGGAGGAAGGUGGGGAUGACGUCAAGUCAUCAUGGCCCUUACGGCCAGGGCUACACACGUGCUACAAUGGUCGGUACAGAGGGUUGCCAAACCGCGAGGUGGAGCUAAUCUCACAAAACCGAUCGUAGUCCGGAUCGCAGUCUGCAACUCGACUGCGUGAAGUCGGAAUCGCUAGUAAUCGUGAAUCAGAAUGUCACGGUGAAUACGUUCCCGGGCCUU
rnacentral:rRNA from 1 species